rnacentral:rRNA from 1 species
UGCGAGUACGUCACAGCUGGCAGUUAUUAGCUACCAACCUUUCCUCCUCGCUGAAAGUGCUUUACAACCCGAAGGCCUUCUUCACACACGCGGCAUGGCUGCAUCAGGGUUUCCCCCAUUGUGCAAUAUUCCCCACUGCUGCCUCCCGUAGGAGUCUGGACCGUGUCUCAGUUCCAGUGUGGCUGAUCAUCCUCUCAGACCAGCUAGGGAUCGUCGCCUUGGUGAGCCAUUACCUCACCAACUAGCUAAUCCCACCUGGGUUCAUCCAAUCGCGCAAGGCCCGAAGGUCCCCUGCUUUCCCCCGUAGGGCGUAUGCGGUAUUAGCUACCGUUUCCAGUAGUUAUCCCCCUCGACUGGGCAGAUCCCCAGGCAUUACUCACCCGUCCGCCGCUCGCCGGCAAAAGUAGCAAGCUACUUU